rnacentral:rRNA from 1 species
GGCAGUGGCGGCAUACUAUACAUGCAAGUCGAGCGGACAGAUGGGAGCUUGCUCCCUGAUGUUAGCGGCGGACGGGUGAGUAACACGUGGGUAACCUGCCUGUAAGACUGGGAUAACUCCGGGAAACCGGGGCUAAUACCGGAUGGUUGUUUGAACCGCAUGGUUCAAACAUAAAAGGUGGCUUCGGCUACCACUUACAGAUGGACCCGCGGCGCAUUAGCUAGUUGGUGAGGUAACGGCUCACCAAGGCAACGAUGCGUAGCCGACCUGAGAGGGUGAUCGGCCACACUGGGACUGAGACACGGCCCAGACUCCUACGGGAGGCAGCAGUAGGGAAUCUUCCGCAAUGGACGAAAGUCUGACGGAGCAACGCCGCGUGAGUGAUGAAGGUUUUCGGAUCGUAAAGCUCUGUUGUUAGGGAAGAACAAGUACCGUUCGAAUAGGGCGGUACCUUGACGGUACCUAACCAGAAAGCCACGGCUAACUACGUGCCAGCAGCCGCGGUAAUACGUAGGUGGCAAGCGUUGUCCGGAAUUAUUGGGCGUAAAGGGCUCGCAGGCGGUUUCUUAAGUCUGAUGUGAAAGCCCCCGGCUCAACCGGGGAGGGUCAUUGGAAACUGGGGAACUUGAGUGCAGAAGAGGAGAGUGGAAUUCCACGUGUAGCGGUGAAAUGCGUAGAGAUGUGGAGGAACACCAGUGGCGAAGGCGACUCUCUGGUCUGUAACUGACGCUGAGGAGCGAAAGCGUGGGGAGCGAACAGGAUUAGAUACCCUGGUAGUCCACGCCGUAAACGAUGAGUGCUAAGUGUUAGGGGGUUUCCGCCCCUUAGUGCUGCAGCUAACGCAUUAAGCACUCCGCCUGGGGAGUACGGUCGCAAGACUGAAACUCAAAGGAAUUGACGGGGGCCCGCACAAGCGCUGGAGCAUGUGAUUUAAUUCGAAGCAACGCGAAGAACCUUUACCAGGUCUUGACAUCCUCUGACAAUCCUACAGAUAGGACGUCCCCUUCGGGGCAGAGUGACAUGUGUGGCAUGGUGUCGUCACUCUGUCUUGAAAUGUUGGUUAAUUCCGC